CAGUCGCCGCGGGAAUACGGAGGGAGCUAGCGUUAUUCGGAAUUACUGGGCGUAAAGCGCACGUAGGCGGCUUUGUAAGUUAGAGGUGAAAGCCUGGAGCUCAACCCCAGAAUUGCCUUUAAGACUGCAUCGCUUGAAUCCAGGAGAGGUGAGUGGAAUUCCGAGUGUAGAGGUGAAAUUCGUAGAUAUUCGGAAGAACACCAGUGGCGAAGGCGGCUCACUGGACUGGUAUUGACGCUGAGGUGCGAAAGCGUGGGGAGCAAACAGGAUUAGAUACCCGUGUAGUCCCUGUCUCUUAUAC
rnacentral:rRNA from 1 species